AUUGAACGCUGGCGGCAGGCCUAACACAUGCAAGUCGAACGAGUGGCGGACGGGUGAGUAAUGUCUGGGAAACUGCCCGAUGGAGGGGGGUAACUACUGGAAACGGUAGCUAAUACCGCAUACCAUCGGAUGUGCCCAGGUGGGUUUGCCGAGUAGGUGGGGUAACGGCUCACCUAGGCGACGCGCCCUAGCUGGGCUGAGGGGAUGCCCCGCAACACUGAACUGACACCCGGUCCAGACUCCUACGGGAGGCAGCAGUGGGGAAUAUUGCAAAAGGGGCGCAAGCCUGAUGCAGCCCUGCCGCGUGUAUGAAGAAGGCCUUCGGGUUGUAAAGUACUUUCAGCGAGGAGGCGUUACUCGCAGAAGAAGCACCGGCUAACUCCGUGCCAGCAGCCGCGGUAAUUC
rnacentral:rRNA from 1 species